GGCCAUGGAGUGUUCCACUACAAUACAUUCUGGAGACAUUGCAGAAACGUUUUGGAGGCAGCAGUUGUGCACAGAUGGAGAAGUGAACAGCAAAACAUUUUCCAAAAAUUACAACAGGAGGAAAGGAUUGCUGUAUUUGGAGAUAUGCGUGCAGACUCACCAGGCCACUCAGCAAAAUAUGGAAGCUAGUCUGUCAUGAACAUGGAAAGCAAUACUAUUUUGGACCUUCAGCUUGUUCAGAGCAAUGAAGUUGGAGGAAGUUCUCAUAUGGAGAAAGAAGGGCUAAAGAGAUGUUUGGAUGUGCUAGAGAAUAACAGUUUAUCAGUGAACUACAUAGUCGCUGACCGGCAACCACAGAUCUAGAAAUAUCUGAGAGAACGCAGAAUAACUCAAUUCUACGACAUGUGGCACUUUGAAAAAGGUUUGUCAAAGAAGUUGGACAAACUGGCCAAAAACAAGGACUGUGG